ACAGGGGCCACGGCAGUCCCUGGGGGCCGGGACACCCGCAGGGGCUCUCCCCCCGUCUCUGCCAUUUGUGUCCCUGCACAGCUGAACCCUGUGAUACAGAGAUCACGGCUUCCGCCUUAGGCUCCCACGGCCCCUUGGGCGGUUGGCGGCUCCGUGCGUGUCCGCCAGUGUCCACCUUUGUCUGCUGGACCCUGGAGGAGAUGGACACCCACGUCAGACCUCUCUCGGGUUCUCCCCACCCAACAAUCCACAAAAUACCAGAAGGUCCGGAGGAGGGGGUCACAGGCACUCAGGCUCUGCAGAGGCUCGGGGGCCGGUAGUGGGUGUAUAAACGUGCCAGACACGCUCCAUCACCACCCGUGUAUGCAAGACGAGACCGCGUCGCACGUACGGACGAGGCUUUGACUCUGCCCACACGGGCUCUUCCCGCUCGGCCAGGUGGGCGCACGGCCCACGGUCAAGAAGACGGUGCAGGAGGUGAGGCUGCAGACCCGUCACCGCAGCUUCAAACACGCCUCGGGGGGAAAAGAUCCCCAGGACAGUGACGCGGAAUCACCCCCGUCCACGACAAGCGCUUAGAAAUACGACUUCAACUUUGAAAGCAGUUUGAGGUCUGCAGAACAAGGACGAGGAAGUGCAGGGAGUGCCCACA